GAGCUGCCCAGGUCAGAGUCUGGUAAUAAAUCUCCUGUUGGAUGUUCAGAAGAGGCUCCAGGAUCUUGAUCUACUGAAUCCUGGCUGCCUUAAUCCUCUAGUGAAUGUUGAAUUCAUCCAGACAUCAGGCACAAGGCAAGCUUUGGAGAAGUGACACUGCUGCAAUUUCAGGCUUAAAUCGACCACAAAUAGCAACUCCAGAGGAGACAUCCUGGUUUACACAGUGGCCCCAUGCAGACUUUGAAAAAGGCUUGGAUGUCAAAAAUUUCAAAGGCAAAACAUUCUCCAGGAAGAUAUGUCAACUUUGUCCUAUGCUGUGCUGAAUCCUAAUUUGAGAAGCACAGCACUGAAAUAAACAGAGUAAGGAGACACAGAAUUUGGAGCCUGACAUUCCACACAGUGACUGUAUGAUCUUGGAUAAGAGCUCACCUUCCCCAGGUAUAAAAUAAAGGAAACUUCUAUAAAAGAAGGUGAUUCAUCAAGUGAACUACAUUGAUUACCUUCCCUGUUGGCCAGUGAGAUUUACGUUUGCUGCUUUUUUUCCUUCUCCAGCUUUCAGAAUGCAGAAACACUAGAGACAAAUUUGGUCUGCCUAACAAAAUCCAGACAAAGAGGGGUGCAGAUGAGAAUCCCCCACCAUGGGGGCUGCAGCAGUGGCAGAGUGUUGUUUGGAAACAGACCAAGAGGGGAAGAUGGAGGUGACAAUGAGAGAUGCUAAAGACUGCGAGGUGGGUUCCCCAUCAUGUUCUUUGAGAAAUGUGAGUAAAGAGCAGAAUUUAUUUGCAGUUUCCUUUGUCAGAUGCGAUUCCACUCUAGAAAUAAACUAGAGUACAUUCAAGCCCUAUAAAGAUCACUCAGUCAUUCAAACAAUAAUAAUCCAUUGCUUGAGAUCAAUGGCUCUCGUUCUUCCUAAGUCCAGUUUGGGUGGUCCUGGGAUCCAAUGGGAAAGUGAGAGUCUCUUUUUUUUUUUCCUUUCUGCUAGUGACCUUGCUUCUAUUUCACUAAGAUAAAGACAGCAGAAGAAAAGUUCCAUGUCUCCAUCACCCAAUCACCUUGCGUCUAUACUGUUUUCUCUCCUUCCACCAGGUCGAGCUCUCCACACACCCAGGUUAAACCCUGUAAUUACAUCCUAGCUCUUCUCUCCCCAGAGCUCUCUCUCCUCUCCUGUUCUAUCCCCUUUCUCUCCUGCAUCAUCCUCAUUUAACACAAACUUGUUGUAUUAUCUCUGUGAAUCCCAAAUACCCCUCCAGCUACUGCUUAACUUCUUUCCCUUUGAUGUUACCACCUGAAAUAUUUGAUCAUGUUUGCUGUUUCCAGCAUGGAGACAAAUCCAGUGGCUCAGUGUCAGUCUCCUUAGCCAGUCUGGGCAGUAACUGACACUGUCCAUCACUUCUUUCAUUUUGAAAUGUUCAAGAUUGAGCUUCAGGG